rnacentral:rRNA from 1 species
UGAGCAAUCUGCCCUUCUCAUCGGAAUAAGCGUUGGAAACGACGUCUAAUGCCGAAUACGACCUCCUUUCGCAUGAUCGGAGGUGGAAAGCUCCGGCGGAGAAGGAUGAGCUCGCGGCCUAUCAGCUAGUUGGUGUGGGUAAUGGCCCACCAAGGCGACGAUCAGUAGCUGGUCUGAGAGGGUGACCGGCCACACUGGGACUGAGACACGGCCCAGAUCCUACGGG